UACGUAGGGUGCAAGCGUUAAUCGGAAUUACUGGGCGUAAAGCGUGCGCAGGCGGUGAUGUAAGACAGAUGUGAAAUCCCCGGGCUCAACCUGGGAACUGCAUUUGUGACUGCAUCGCUGGAGUGCGGCAGAGGGGGAUGGAAUUCCGCGUGUAGCAGUGAAAUGCGUAGAUAUGCGGAGGAACACCGAUGGCGAAGGCAAUCCCCGUGGGCCUGCACUGACGCUCAUGCACGAAAGCGUGGGGAGCAAACAGG
rnacentral:rRNA from 1 species